ACCGGUGCGGGCGGAGCGGUCUGUGCCGCCGGUUGCGUCCCGGCGGGUGCGACCGGAGCCGCCUGCGCCGCGGGUUCCGGCUCGGCGGCCGGUGC
rnacentral:tRNA from 1 species